rnacentral:rRNA from 1 species
UACAGAGGUCUCAAGCGUUGUUCGGAUUCAUUGGGCGUAAAGGGCGUGUAGGCGGGUAUGUAAGUCGGGCGUGAAAUCCCUGGGCUCAACCCAGGAACUGCACUCGAAACUGCGUAUCUUGAGUGCCGGAGAGGAAAGCGGAAUACCUGGUGUAGAGGUGAAAUUCGUAGAUAUCAGGUGGAACACCAGUGGCGAAGGCGGGUCUCUGGACAGUUCCUGACGCUGAGGCACGAAGGUCAGGGGAGCAAACGGG